rnacentral:lncRNA from 1 species
ACAAAGUAACGUGAAUGAAUGCACUCGCAGCUUCGACAAUGCUUCAACUUUCUAUACAUAAAACAAAUGGAUGCUCUUGUGUCUAUUUAAAUGACUUUGAGGUUUAGUAUUUGAUUUUUGGGGUCAAAUCCUAAAUUAAGAUGCACAUGUAACUCAAACUUUAAUACACACAGGUCUCCCAUUCCAACAUCUUAAUGCCUGCUUCUCUAUUAAGGAUUUGGUCCAUUAUCUUGAAUCUACUUCGUAAACAACAUGUCACACACUUGCUUGGCUUGCUAUCUUGGACACCAUGGCCCCUGUGCUCAUCUUAACAGUUCCUGAUCCCUUCCAGAUUCUUCCAGCCUUUGCUCUCGCAGCCUGUCCGCUCGUGGGAGCUGUGAGCAUCUGACUACCACGUCACCCUCCUCUUCCAAUCAGCAGCACUGUGUGCUGACCUUUGACCCUAGCCAGGGCGGUGGCCACCACUCCACCUCCACCCCAGCACCUGCUCUAUCACUGGGACUCCUGAAGCUGCUGAAGGAGCAGGGCAUCUCUGCCUCCACCCUCCCCUACCCAUACCACCAACUGACCCCACACACACCCCACACACGCCCCACAACGGCAGAGGAAGAGCGGGGUGGAGGAACAUGCACUAUGGAGGAAGAAGGGAGAAUGAACAUUUUCAGCUUCAACCUGGUAGAGAAGCUGAGGAGUCUGGGACUUCACAAGGUGGCAGCCCGAGGCGUGGUGGACUGAAGCGAGCACGAAGAGGAGAAAGAAGCAAUCCGACAAUACAGACAUCCACCUAAAGUCUGAGAAAGACUGGGAAAACUCCUUCUCCCCUUCCUCCUUAAUCGUCAUUGACUUCAAUCCACAUGCUGGCUAUGCCACUGUACCGACAUUUUGUGUUUCGGGCCCACAGCAAUACAUCGUAAAAUGGAACCUCGGGAGAACCAUAGAGCCAUAAGUUGAGUUUCUGUUACGUCUACAGUCACUCUUCUUUUUGUAAUGGACUCAUGUAUUGUAUAUACUAGGUCUCCACGACAAUGUGUGACAUCAUGAUCAUUCUCAGGAGAAUCACCUGAUCACCGGUCUGGCUGGCUUGAACGUGCGCAAGUUAUUAUUAUUUUUUUAUCAAAGAAAAACAUGCGUUUCUUUUUUUAUACCUGUGUUUCGUGGGUGUCGGAUGGUUUUACACGUUUUUCUUUAAAGACCCCUAUGCUUUUUUAAUAUAUAUUUUUACCAUCAAAUACAAUCACAUUACCUUUUCAUUACUUGGGGAAAGAUAUCGUUAUUUAAGAACCACCAAACUGACCAGUUUGUCAUCCACAGAUGCGCUGGAAUUCAGUAUGUCCUUUUGCAUAUUAGCUGCUAUUAGAAAAUGAAGCAUUUGUGGGUAUUAACCACAUUGACUUUACUGUGGUAAAACCACAAGCACUUCAAUCACUCCCCAUUACAGAAUGGUAGAGAGAUUGAUACACUGACUUUACUUCCUGAACGUUUGUGACAUUAUUGACAUUCACUGAGGUAUACUACUCUGCUCUUUACCCAAAAGUCCUCAUUUAGCUCUCGCAGUACUGUGCGUUUACAUGGCAUCACGCAUCACCUGCUGCAAGUCAUUGUAAAAUAAUGCUUUACUUCGAAAUGCUGUCAAUUAUUGUAAACUUAUUUAGUCGAACCUCACCAAAGCAUUCAGGUAGUCUACCAUACUGUAUCAAAGACAACAGAAAGUGACUGUAAAUGGUCUCUGCACUAGUCUAUGUGCUGGAUCUGUGUUAACAGACCUUAAACUAAAGUGUUGUUGGUACAAAUGUAAUUCAUGUCAUCAGGAAUAAUGAAAGUGAGUUGAAUGAAAAAAAUUAUGAUCAAAUGAUCAUGGACUGCAUGCUUUUUUGGAUGCUCUUUCAGCUGUCUGGACAAUCAAUUGUAGAUAAAAGGCGUAGGAUACUGCAGAUCAAAAGGGAAAAAGAUAGCAAAUUAUGACAAUUUGAAUUCAGAAGAAAAUUAACCAAACAGCACUACAUAUAUUUCAGAUGUUGAAAUUGACUACUCUUUGCUGAAUUCUAUGUUAUGAUCACUGAGAUGUAUGUCUGUAUAUAUUGUACCACAUGUACAUUAAAAAGUACAUUGUAUUUCCAUCAGCCACACGUGCAUGCGUGUU